GACGAACGCUGGCGGCGUGCUUAACACAUGCAAGUCGAGCGGAAAGGCCUUGCGGUUGCGGCGUGCGUGUGAGGGGAGAGGGAGAGGUGCACGCGAGGAUCCUCACCUUGGGAUAGGGAUAACAUCCCGGGACUGGGGCCAGAAACGGAUAGGAAUUGCUGGUGCGUGGGGGGGGAAGGUUAGUUUGGGCGGUUGGGGCUGGGGUCGAGGCUUAUGAGCUUGGUGGGGGGGUAGUGGCAUACCAAGGCGUGGAGGGGUAGUCGACCUGGGAGGGUGACCGGCCACACUGGGACUGAGACACGGCCCAGACUCCUACGGGAGGCAGCAGUGGGAAAUAUUGCACAAUGGGCGAAAGCCUGAUGCGGCGACGCCGGGUGCGGGAUGACGGCCUUCGGGUUAUAAACCUCUUUCAGCGGAGACGAAGCGCAAGUGACGGUACCUGAAGAAGAAGCACCGGCUAACUACGUG
rnacentral:rRNA from 1 species